rnacentral:rRNA from 1 species
GAUGAACGCUAGCGGCAGGCUUAAUACAUGCAAGUCAAGGGGGUAGCAAUACAACCGGCGCACGGGUGAGUAACGCGUACACAACAUACCAUAUACUGGAGUAUAGCUUCGGGAAACUGAAGGUAAUCCUCCAUAACAUUGCGAGAAGGCAUCUAAUUGCAAUUAAAGUUUCGACGGUAUAUGAUUGGUGUGCGUUUGAUUAGCUAGUUGGUAGGGUAACGGCCUACCAAGGCGACGAUCAAUAGCUGGCGUGAGAGCGCGACCAGCCACACUGGAACUGAGACACGGUCCAGACUCCGUACGGGAGGCAGCAGUAGGGAAUAUUGGACAAGUGGCGAAAGCCUGAUCCAGCCAUGCCGCGUGAUAGAU